UACGUAGGUGGCAAGCGUUAUCCGGAUUUAUUGGGCGUAAAGCGAGCGCAGGCGGUUGCUUAGGUCUGAUGUGAAAGCCUUCGGCUUAACCGAAGAAGUGCAUCGGAAACCGGGCGACUUGAGUGCAGAAGAGGACAGUGGAACUCCAUGUGUAGCGGUGAAAUGCAUAGAUAUCACGAAGAACUCCGAUUGCGAAGGCAGCUUACCAGUCUGCGACUGACGCUCAGGCACGAAAGUGUGGGUAUCGAACAGG
rnacentral:rRNA from 1 species